rnacentral:rRNA from 1 species
GAACGNNGGCGGCGUGCCUAAUGCAUGCAAGUCGAACGCACGCGCUUCGGUGCGUGAGUGGCGCACGGCUGAGGAACACGUGGGUGACCGGUCUGCGCGUGGGGGAUAACGACGCGAAAGCGGCGCUAAUCCCGCAUACGCUCCUUCGGGAGGAAAGCCGCAAGGCGCGCGCAGGAGGGCCUGCGGCCCAUCAGGUAGUUGGUAUGGGUAACGGCCUACCAAGCCCAUGACGGGUUCCUGGUCUGAGAGGACGACCAGGCAGACUGGGACUGAGACACGGCCCAGACUCCUACGGGAGGCAGCAGCAAGGAAUUUUCCGCAAUAGGCGCAAGCCUGACGGAGCAACGCCGCGUGCAGGACGACGGCCUUCGGGUUGUAAACUGCUUUUCGGCGGGACGAUGAUGACGGUACCGNCGGAAGAAGCCCCGGCUAACUCCGUGCCAGCAGCCGCGGUAAG